CCCGACAUCUGGGCUUCUUUUGACUCUCCUGCGAAGUUACACACAGAAGCAGUGUGUUUCAGGUGUGUUUCAGGUGUGUUUCAGAUGUGUUUCAGGUGUGUUUCAGGUGUGUUUCAGGUGUGUUUCAGAUGUGUUUCAGAUGUGUUUCAGGUUUGUUUCAGGUGUAUUUCAGGUGUGUUUCAGAUGUGUUUCAGGUGUGUUUCAGGUGUGUUUCAGAUGUGUUUCAGGUGUGUUUCAGAUGUGUUUCAGGUGUGUUUCAGGUGUAUUUCAGGUGUGUUUCAGAUGUGUUUCAGGUGUGUUUCAGGUGUGUUUCAGAUGUGUUUCAGGUGUGUUUCAGAUGUGUUUCAGGUGUGUUUCAG
ensembl:lncRNA